AGCGUUAAAGCACCGGUUUCCGUACGAACACCGAGAAUAAUCAACGUUGUGCCUGGCCAGUGCCUAGAUGGGUGACCGCUUGGGAAUACCAGCUACUGUAAG